rnacentral:misc_RNA from 1 species
CUGUCAGUUCAUAAUUAUUUUGUUGUAAAUCUCUUGUCUUCAUGGGGGGUUCAAUCAUUAAAAUGAAUACAGAAUCUUGCGUCUCUUGUAGUCAUUAUGUGAUCCUCCAUCUCAAAGUAGAUAGGCUCACAUAAUUGCGGUUUCUCAGCUGUGGCAGUCCUUAGUAUUAGUCAGUCCUGUCACUUGAAAACUAUUUACUCGCUGUAGUUUUAUUUCACUCAUGAAUCAGCUAUCGGAUUCUUGGACCCUCAAAAUCACGGUAGCCAAGAGCGAGACAAAAAUGCAGACAAUUAAAUGUGUGGUUGUGGGAGAUGGAGCAGUGGGUAAAACGUGCCUAUUGAUUUCGUAUACCACCAACAAAUUUCCUUCUGAGUAUGUCCCGACCGUUUUUGACAACUAUGCAGUUACGGUUAUGAUAGGAGGCGAGCCAUAUACCUUGGGAUUAUUUGACACAGCGGGUCAAGAAGAUUACGAUAGACUACGACCGUUGAGUUAUCCACAAACAGAUGUCUUUCUUGUUUGUUUUUCUGUUGUAUCACCAUCUUCUUUUGAAAAUGUUAAGGAAAAGUGGGUACCAGAGAUAACACACCACUGUCAGAAGACACCUUUUCUAUUGGUUGGCACACAAAUUGAUUUACGAGAUGACGCUGUAACCAUUGAGAAGCUUGCAAAGAAUAAACAAAAACCGAUAACAGGAGAACAAGGAGAGAAGCUUGCAAAAGAACUGAAGGCAGUGAAAUAUGUUGAAUGCAGUGCUCUUACGCAAAAAGGACUAAAGAACGUGUUCGACGAAGCGAUUCUGGCUGCUUUGGAACCUCCAGAACCGGUUAGGAGAAGAAAAUGUGUCCUUUUGUAGGGAGGCUGUUUUAUACCUUCUUCUCACCACUACGCAAACACGACUCAUUGUGCCCCACAUUGAUGGACUAUGGUAUUAUAUAUUAAUACCCUUUAUGAUCGCAUAAACAAAAUGAACCAGCCAUCCUGGACUGGAGUAAUUCUCCAUGAGUUCUAAAUAGGGAGCCCGCCGCUCUAAUAUUGAGUUAUCAAUAAGGCAUUUUUAAUAAUAAGUUACUAAUGUGAAUUUUUUUAAUAAAUUAAUAAUGAAAGAAAAAAAUUAAGUAAACCAUCUUUAUUUUAAUCAUGGAGCACGGACGCCAAAGAGAAGAUUUUAUGUACCGUUUCUAUUAGGAUUUCAAUAUAUUAUGCAGAAUGGUGUUUGACGAAAGAUAAUAAUAUGUAUAUUGACUUUGCACAAUCUCGUUAUUGUCGUGAUACGAAUCUUGGUGGAAACGUGCGGUAGGACAUUCUGAUUCAUUUUUCAAUGAAUAAUACGUCUUGUCCUCUCCUUGUACGUCCGUGUCACUACAAAUAAUACAACAUGUAUAUGUUUUAAUACCACAUGUAUAAUAUCUGCAUUGUACAACACAUAUUUGUCCAACCAGAAAAAUUUAUCUGAAUUUAGUUUGUCUUAUGGAUCCUUAUUACGUUAUGCUUGGCGCAUGCAUUCAAGAGAUUCAAUAUUACGCUAAUAUUAAAUUUACGAGGCAUUUCUCAUAGAAGACUUUCACUUUACCACUUGUCAUUCCACAUCCUAUUGAUCCUGUUUUACUUGCAACUCGGUUUUAUGCGAUAAUUAUUGUUGCACCAAAUUACAGGAAAUCAGGGAUUUCAUGAGGAUGAUUUCAAACUAAUAAAACACAUAUACACAGCGCUUUAACUCGUGACUUUAAUAAUAAGAUAAUAUUAGUUUAAAAUUAGUUAAACAUCAGUUCGUAUAUAAAUACAUAACUAUACAUUGUACAUCAGAAAUUUUAUAAAUAUAACACCAAAACAAAAUAUUCAAAUUUUUUCACUCGUUAUCGCGAAUUAUCUAUGCAUUUUUCAACGAUUUUAUUUCGGUAAUACUUAACAGUUUUAUACCUUCGUGAUUAACUGAUGGUACAUUCAUUUUUUUGUUUUUUGUUUUUAAUGAUAAACUCAAAUUGGACCAUUGUGGAAAUAAUAUCAUAAAACAUACUAAAGCGCGAUGUUGAUUUAUGAUAAUUAGAUUGAUGAGAAAAACAAAAAAAAUUGACUGAACAGGUGAAAGAAACCUUUCGUAAACAUCCCCAGUAAUCUAAAUGAAAGACAAAAGUUACAGACAAUGAGACAGAAUAAAAUGAAGCUCGCCAUAUCUGAAUGUGAGAUUUAUUCAAUACGUUUUUGAAUAUGCGGAAAUUGUUAAUCGAUGCAUUGAAUUUAUAACUCCGAUACUAGUCUGUAAUAAGAAGAAAAAAAAAGAUCCUUACGUGUUUUCCAAUGUAAACUGUACUACAACAACUAUAUGGUAUAUGUAUCGCAAAAAUUUGUACUAACAUGAAAAAGAAAAAAAAACAGAAAAAAAACAAAAAAAAUUGUAAAUAACCGUUAUUAUAACUGAAAGGUAGGCGUUUGGAAAACCAAGAGACAUACUAAGUGAGUAACUGAUGAAACAAACGUCAUGCCGAAUUGUCGCAACCGUUAUUAAAUAAAGAUCUGCGAACAAACGA